GAGGGUAGAGCCCAGUGGUAGAGCGCACGCUUAGCAUGCAUGAGGUCCUGGGUUCACUCCCAGCACCUCCA
rnacentral:tRNA from 1 species